rnacentral:rRNA from 1 species
UACGUAGGGGGCUAGCGUUGUCCGGAAUCAUUGGGCGUAAAGAGCGCGUAGGCGGCCAGAUAAGUCCGGUGUGAAAGUCAAAGGCUCAACCUUUGAAUGCCGCUGGAAACUGUCUGGCUAGAGUCCGGGAGGGGCGAGUGGAAUUCCUGGUGUAGCGGUGAAAUGCGCAGAUAUCGGGAGGAACACCAGCGGCGAAGGCGGCACUCUGGGCUGGUACUGACGCUGAGGAGCGAAAGCGUGGGUAGCAAACAGG